rnacentral:rRNA from 1 species
UACGAAGGGUGCUAGCGUUGUUCGGAAUUACUGGGCGUAAAGCGCACGUAGGCGGAUUGGCAAGUCAGGGGUGAAAUCCCGGAGCUCAACUCCGGAACUGCCUUUGAUACUGCCUGUCUAGAGUCCGGAAGAGGUGGGUGGAAUUCCUAGUGUAGAGGUGAAAUUCGCGGAUAUUAGGAAGAACACCAGUGGCGAAGGCGGCCCACUGGUCCGGAACUGACGCUGAGGUGCGAAAGCGUGGGGAGCAAACAGG